rnacentral:lncRNA from 1 species
UUCUUCUAACUACACAAGUCAACCAUACUUCACACUUCUUACCAUAAAAAAACAAACUCUUCCAUAAUACCACCAAGAACACAACCAUUUCACCAUGUAAAAAACCUCAAACUCAAAAAAACCGAUAACACCAUUUUUCUACACACUCACAUAGAUUUCUCACUCUCAUUUUUCAUCACCAUUUUUACAACAUAAACACAACCUUCA